rnacentral:rRNA from 1 species
UGUUCUCUAAAUAGGGACUCGUAUCAACGGCAUCACGAGGGCUUCACUGUCUCCUUUCUCUAAUCAGUGAAACUGAUCUCCCCGUGAAGAAGCGGGGAUUCUUCCAUAAGACGAGAAGACCCCAUGGAGCUUUAAGCAAUGCAUUUACUCUUUACUUAUUCUUAUCAAUUUAGUAAGAUACCUAAAUACUAGCUUUAGGUUGGGGGGACCGCGGAGUAUAAAUUAACCUCCACGACAAAUGGGCUACGCCCUUAUCUACGAGCCACAACUCUAAGAAUCAAUAAACUGAUGUAUAAUGACCCAACAAUUUGAUCAACGAACCAAGUUACCCUGGGGAUAACAGCGCAAUCUACUUCAAGAGCCCCUAUCGACAAGUAGGUUUACGACCUCGAUGUUGGAUCAGGGUAUCCCAGUGGUGCAGCCGCUA